GACGGGGCCCGCACAAGCAGCGGAGCAUGUGGCUUAAUUCGACGCAACGCGAAGAACCUUACCAGGGCUUGACAUGCAGGGAAAAGCGGCGGAAACGUCGUGUCCGCAAGGGCCCUGCACAGGUGGUGCAUGGCUGUCGUCAGCUCGUGUCGUGAGAUGUUGGGUUAAGUCCCGCAACGAGCGCAACCCUCGUCCUAUGUUGCCAGCGGGUCAUGCCGGGGACUCAUGGGAGACUGCCGGGGUCAACUCGGAGGAAGGUGGGGAUGACGUCAAAUCAUCAUGCCCCUUAUGUCUUGGGCUUCACGCAUGCUACAAUGGCCGGUACAAAGGGCUGCGAUACCGCGAGGUGGAGCGAAUCCCAGAAAGCCGGUCUCAGUUCGGAUUGGGGUCUGCAACUCGACCCCAUGAAGUCGGAGUCGCUAGUAAUCGCAGAUCAGCAACGCUGCGGUGAAUACGUUCCCGGGCCUU
rnacentral:rRNA from 1 species